CGCCUGGGGAGUGCGGCCGCAAGGUUAAAACUCAAAUGAAUUGACGGGGGCCCGCACAAGCGGUGGAGCAUGUGGUUUAAUUCGACGCAACGCGAAGAACCUUACCUGGCCUUGACAUGCAGAGAACUUUCCAGAGAUGGAUUGGUGCCUUCGGGAACUCUGACACAGGUGCUGCAUGGCCGUCGUCAGCUCGUGUCGUGAGAUGUUGGGUUAAGUCCCGUAACGAGCGCAACCCCUAUCCCUAGUUGCUAGCAGUUCGGCUGAGAACUCUAGGGAGACUGCCGGUGACAAACCGGAGGAAGGUGGGGAUGACGUCAGGUCAUCAUGGCCCUUACGGCCAGGGCUACACACGUGCUACAAUGGCGCGCACAGAGGGCUGCAAACCCGCGAGGGGGAGCCAAUCUCACAAAACGCAUCGUAGUCCGGAUCGCAGUCUGCAACUCGACUGCGUGAAGUCGGAAUCGCUAGUAAUCGUGAAUCAGAAUGUCACGGUGAAUACGUUCCCGGGCCUUGUACACACCGCCCGUCACACCAUGGGAGUGGAUUGCACCAGAAGUGGUUAGUCUAACCUUCGGGAGGACGAUCACCACGGUGUGGUUCAUGACUGGGGUGAAGUCGUAACAAGGUAACCGUA
rnacentral:rRNA from 1 species